rnacentral:rRNA from 1 species
GACGAACGCUGGCGGCGUGCUUAACACAUGCAAGUCGAACGCCGAAGCUUGGUGCUUGCACUGGGUGGAUGAGUGGCGAACGGGUGAGUAAUACGUGAGUAACCUGCCCUUGACUCUGGGAUAAGCCUGGGAAACUGGGUCUAAUACUGGAUACGACAUGUCACCGCAUGGUGGUGUGUGGAAAGGGUUUUACUGGUUUUGGAUGGGCUCACGGCCUAUCAGCUUGUUGGUGGGGUAAUGGCUCACCAAGGCGACGACGGGUAGCCGGCCUGAGAGGGUGACCGGCCACACUGGGACUGAGACACGGCCCAGACUCCUACGGGAGGCAGCAGUGGGGAAUAUUGCACAAUGGGCGGAAGCCUGAUGCAGCGACGCCGCGUGAGGGAUGACGGCCUUCGGGUUGUAAACCUCUUUCAGCACGGAAGAAGCGAAAGUGACGGUACGUGCAGAAGAAGCGCCGGCUAACUACGUG